rnacentral:rRNA from 1 species
CGACCGGCGCACGGGUGAGUAACGCGUAUGCAACCUGCCCGUUUCAGCGGGAUAACCCGGAGAAAUCCGGCCUAAUACCGCAUGUGGCCGAGGGGAGGCAUCUUCUUUCGGCCAAAGGAGGCAACUCCGGAGACGGAUGGGCAUGCGUGACAUUAGCUUGUUGGCGGGGUAACGGCCCACCAAGGCGACGAUGUCUAGGGGUUCUGAGAGGAAGGUCCCCCACACUGGUACUGAGACACGGGCCAGACUCCUACGGAAGGCAGCAG